rnacentral:rRNA from 1 species
UGUCGUGGGAUGAGAAAGGCGAUCUGAAAGGAUUUGAGUUCGGCGUGUUUGACUGGCAUGCGAAUGGUACGGCGACAGACGCUAAGUAAUUUUCCUGGCGCCUUUCGCGCUGCAGGUGCGUUGGCUAUGACUGCGAGCGUGACGGCGCGAGCAGGUGCGAAAGCAGGUCAUAGUGAUCCGGUGGUUCUGAAUGGAAGGGCCAUCGCUCAACGGAUAAAAGGUACUCCGGGGAUAACAGGCUGAUACCGCCCAAG